rnacentral:misc_RNA from 1 species
CCAUUGUUUGCAGGACUGUUUCAGUUGGUUCCCAAAUCUAUUUCAAUGAAAGCAAUUUGAUACGCACGCUGCAAGUUGCAUGGCACCCUUACAGUGAUACACAUUUAGGAAUCCUUUCUUCUGACUCUGUUUUCAGACUUUUUGAUUUGUCUUCAGAUCUCCUGCGACCAGAGCAGGAGUAUUAUCUACAGCCAGUCGAACCAGGUAGAUCUAGACAUGCUGCAUCAAUCUGUCCAGUAGAUUUUUCUUUUGGAGGAGACCACUUGUGGGACAGGUUUAGUGUUUUUACUUUAUUCAGUGACGGUUCAGUUUAUAUCCUUUGCCCAAUUGUUCCAUUUGGAAGUGUCCACAAAUGGGAGUCAGUAUUGGAGAUAUAUAGAGAUGCCCACACAUUUGGCCUGAAAUCUGUAAAUCAGACAGCUGUUAGUAACUCUAAUCUAGCAAUCUCGUGGUUGGAAGCAACAUUUCCUGAGUUAGAUAAUGGGGCCAUGGAAGAGGAAAAUCUUUUGGCAUUAAAAGCUCGACCCUAUGUUUUAUUUGAUGCAUCACUUUGUUUACAGGGCCCUUUACAGAGAGUACAUGGUGGGGCCUUGGAUGUACGGGGUGUAGAAUGUGAAGGUCGUGCAGUCAGUUUUCUCUAUAAUGUCAUCAGCAAAGAUUCAAUUUUGGUGAUCGCAUGGAGUGGGGGGCAAUUG